CUGUAAUGAUGUUAUCAAAUGUCUGACCUGAAUAGAGCAUGUAGACUUGAUGUAACACUGAAGAA